rnacentral:rRNA from 1 species
AGAGUUUGAUCUGGCUCAGGACGAACGCUUUCGGCGUGCCUAACACAUGCAAGUCGAGCGAGGAAUGCCGGGUAGCUUGCUGCCUGACAUUUCUAGCGGCGGACGGGUGAGUAACGCGUGAGCAACCUGCCUUUAUCAGGGGGAUAACGCAUCGAAAGAUGUGCUAAUACCGCGUAAGACCACAGCCUCACAUGGGGCAGGGGUCAAAGGAGCAAUCCGGAUAAAGAUGGGCUCGCGUCCGAUUAGCUAGUUGGUGAGAUAACAGCCCACCAAGGCGACGAUCGGUAGCCGACCUGAGAGGGUGAUCGGCCACAUUGGAACUGAGAAACGGUCCAGACUCCUACGGGAGGCAGCAGUGGGGAAUAUUGGGCAAUGGGCGAAAGCCUGACCCAGCAACGCCGCGUGAGGGAAGAAGGGUUUCGGCUCGUAAACCUCUGUCCUAUGGGACGAAGGAAGUGACGGUACCAUAGGAGGAAGCCACGGCUAACUACGUGCCAGCAGCCGCGGUAAUACGUAGGUGGCAAGCGUUGUCCGGAUUUACUGGGUGUAAAGGGCGUGCAGCCGGGCAUGCAAGUCAGAUGUGAAAUCUCAGGGCUUAACCCUGAAACUGCAUUUGAAACUGUAUGUCUUGAGUGCCGGAGAGGUAAUCGGAAUUCCUUGUGUAGCGGUGAAAUGCGUAGAUAUAAGGAAGAACACCAGUGGCGAAGGCGGAUUACUGGACGGUAACUGACGGUGAGGCGCGAAAGCGUGGGGAGCGAACAGGAUUAGAUACCCUGGUAGUCCACGCUGUAAACGAUGGAUACUAGGUGUGGGGGGACUGACCCCCUGGGUGCCGCAGUUAACACAAUAAGUAUCCCCACCUGGGGAGUACGAUCGCAAGGUUGAAACUCAAAGGAAUUGACGGGGGCCCGCACAAGCGGUGGAUUAUGUGGUUUAAUUCGAAGCAACGCGAAGAACCUUACCAGGUCUUGACAUCCUGCUAACGAAGUAGAGAUACAUUAGGUGCCCUCCGGGGAAAGCAGAGACAGGUGGUGCAUGGUUGUCGUCAGCUCGUGUCGUGAGAUGUUGGGUUAAGUCCCGCAACGAGCGCAACCCCUAUUGUUAGUUGCUACGCAAGAGCACUCUAGCGAGACUGCCGUUGACAAAACGGAGGAAGGUGGGGACGACGUCAAAUCAUCAUGCCCCUUAUGUCCUGGGCUACACACGUAAUACAAUGGCAUUUAACAGAGGGAAGCAAAGCCGCGAGGUGGAGCAAAUCCCUAAAAGGUGUCUCAGUUCGGAUUGCAGGCUGCAACUCGCCUGCAUGAAGUCGGAAUUGCUUGUAAUCGCGGAUCAGCAUGCCGCGGUGAA